CACGUAAGGGCGCGAGCGUUGUCCGGAAUUAUUGGGCGUAAAGAGCUCGUAGGCGGCCUGUUGCGUCCGCUGUGAAAGCCCGGGGCUUAACCCCGGGUCGGCAGUGGAUACGGGCAGGCUAGAGGUAGGUAGGGGAGAAUGGAAUUCCCGGUGUAGCGGUGAAAUGCGCAGAUAUCGGGAGGAACACCGGUGGCGAAGGCGGUUCUCUGGGCCUUACCUGACGCUGAGGAGCGAAAGCGUGGGGAGCGAUCCGG
rnacentral:rRNA from 1 species